rnacentral:misc_RNA from 1 species
CCUCUCCGUUCCCUCACCUCCACCUUCUCUCUUUCUGUCUUCCACUCUCUGCUUUCUAUUUACUUUCUCGCCGAAUUUUCUCUCUGGCCAAACAAAACAAUGGUGAGGGAUGAUUUGUUUAUAACGGUUCCUAGCCUUUUCCGGUGCCCGAUUUCACUGGACGUGAUGAAAUCCCCUGUUAGUCUGUGCACCGGCGUUACCUACGACCGCACUAGCAUCCAGCGGUGGCUCGACAACGGCAAUAACACUUGCCCUUUAACCAUGCAGGUCCUCCGGAGCAAGGAGGUCGUUCCCAACCGCAACUUACAGCGACUCAUCAAGACCUGGUCUGACUCGGUACAGCACCACCGCACUCACCGAGUUGACUCAGCAACUACUUCAGUUCCUUCACAGGAUGAAAUCAAGUGCAUAGUUAAGGACAUUGAAACGGAAAAAGAUCCGGAUCGCUGUUGUUUCGACGCUUUAUCGAAAAUUCUGUGUUUCGCCGAAGAAUCGGUGGAGAAUCGGGAAUUUCUAGCAAAAAUGGACGGAUUCGUGCAAAUGCUUGUUGAUUUUCUCGGCGAUAAUAAAAGCAUUGACUUCAUUGAGCAAGUAAUUAGGGUUCUAGAAUUGAUCUUAAUCAAAAUGGGGGACUAUAAGCAGUUAAUGACAUUGCUAUUGAAGAACAAAAAUGUCGAUUGCUUGUCCUCGCUCCUUCUCGCGCUUCAACGAGGAAGAAGCGUGGACUCGAGAAUUGGAUCGGUCAGAAUUAUGGAAUCAAUCGCCAUGGAUGCAGAAUCGAAUUUGCUAAUCGCCGAAAAAGAUGGAUUACUAUCCGAAUUAGUAAAAUCAAUUGGCCUAGAAACCGAUCCGAGCUUAAUUGAAGCGAGCUUAUCAUGUCUAAUCGCGAUUUCGAAGUCGAAACGCGUCAAAGUAAAGCUAGUCCAUCUCAAAACAAUUCCAGAAUUGAAAAACAUACUAAGGGCGGAGCCAAACACAGGAGUUUCAAACUCGAUCACUGAGAAGGCGUUGAAGCUGCUCGAAACGGUGUCGUCCUGCAAGGAGGGGAGAGUAGAGAUGUGCGGUGACAUGGCGUGCAUCGAAGCAGUGCUGCAGAAAUUGUUCAAAGUAUCGGUAGAGGCGACGGAGCAUGCCGUGACGAUACUUUGGAGCGUAUGUUAUUUGUUUAGAGACGGGAAGGCGAGAGAGGCGGUGACGAAUAGUAACGGGUUGACGAAGAUAUUAUUGCUGAUGCAGAGUAAUUGCUCGCCGGCGGUGAGGCAGAUGUCGGCGGAUUUGUUGAAAAUUUUCAAGGUGAAUUCCAAGUCUUGCCUUUCCAGCUAUGAUACUAAGACUACCCAUAUUAUGCCGUUUUGAUUCCAUACGCCAUGGGAUGGGAUAUAUGCCAAGUUUCACUUUUUUUUUUCUCUCUUUUUUGGUGCAAGAAAUUGAGAGAUAGUGCAUAUAGAGAAACAGAUUAUAAAUCCAAAACGAAAAGAUUUUGUUAGUGAAUAUAAGAGAGAAUCAAAUUCGUUUGAUUUUGCAUAGGAAAAUUUUCAAUUUUAAUUUUUUUUUCCUUUGUUGUUCAUGUUUUCUUUUUGUUUGUUCUGUAAAUCAAACACAGAAAGAAUUGGACAGAAAUACAAAUCAAUACAAGUUGUUCUUGUUCUUGAAA